rnacentral:rRNA from 1 species
CAGCGCCACGAGUGGUAACCGCGAUUAUUGGGCCUAAAGCGUCCGUAGCCGGGUUGAUAAAUCCUUUGUGAAAUUGUGCGGCUCAACCGAACAACGUGCAAGGGACACUGUUAACCUCGAGACCGGGAGGAGUCAGAAGUAUUCCUGAGGGAGCGGUAAAAUGUUAUAAUCUCAGGAGGACUACCUGUGGCGAAGGCGUCUGACCAGAACGGAUCUGACGGUGAGGGACGAAAGCCAGGGGAGCGAACCGGAUUAGAUACCCGAGUAGUCC